GGGGGAAGCGCCGCGAAGUAGAUUUUAAAUAAGGUCAUACAUUAUAAAUAAUAAUAUAUUGGUUUAUUAUUUGUAUAUCUUUUUUUCCGUAGGAUUUAUUUAAAUUAAUAAAUUAAACGAUUCCUACUCCCCUCACAAUCACUCCUUCGGAGAACCAUACGGGAAGAGUGACUGUGAGGACUCCCUGUAAGGCUCCGCCUUACAGGGAGAAAGAGUCGGAGAAAAUUGAUUUGAUUAUUCAUUUAUUUGAGUAAUUAGUGUAGUUAUUCUUUAAUAUAUAAUUUUAUUAUAUUUUUUACUAGGUAUUUAACUGCUUUUUUUAGGUUUAAUUAGUUUCGACUAACCCAUCUGAGUAACAUCUCAAAAGUCAUAGCAAGGUA
rnacentral:rRNA from 1 species